CCUACGGGUGACUGCAGUGGGGGAUAUUGCACAAUGGGGGAAACCCUGAUGCAGCGACGCCGCGUGUGGGAAGACGGUCCUCUGGAUUGUAAACCACUGUCCCCAGGGACGAAGAUGACGGUACCUGGGGAGGAAGCUCCGGCUAACUACGUGCCAGCAGCCGCGGUAAUACGUAGGGAGCGAGCGUUGUCCGGAAUUACUGGGUGUAAAGGGAGCGUAGGCGGGACUGCAAGUUGGGUGUCAAAUCUACCGGCUCAACCGGUAGCCGCACUCAAAACUGCAGUUCUUGAGUGAAGUAGAGGCAGGCGGAAUGCCUAGUGUAGCGGUGAAAUGCGUAGAUAUCAGGAGGAACACCGGCGGCGAAGGCGGCCUGCUGGACUGAAACUGACGUUGAGGCUCGAAAGCGUGGGGAGCAAACAGGAUUAGAUACCCCUGUAGUC
rnacentral:rRNA from 1 species